rnacentral:misc_RNA from 1 species
CUACCAACAAUGAAGUGAGUGGGCGGAAGUGAGUCUCAUUUCACUUACGGUUUCGGGUGCAAGUGUGGUGUAAUGUUGUCGACUUGACGUAUAAUGGCCCUCUACCUCCCGGUGUUCGUGUUCUAGUGUCUGCCGGUUUUGUAGUCGACCGUUAGGAACAUUAGAAAUGACUUCUCCCAUCUACAACCCGCCCCUCCCUUACGUUGGACCCAUUCCUGGGGGUGUGCUCUCCAUUGGCACCCUCAUUCGCAUCCAGGGAACGCCUCACCACUCUGCAAGAUGCUUCGCCAUCAACCUGCAGUGCGGGCCAAAUGUGCACCCACGCGACGACAUCGCACUUCACCUGAGUCCCGUCUUCUCGCCACCACCACGCAUCGUCCGCAACUCGAUCCAAGCCCAACAGUGGGGACCUGAAGAGUCGCACGGUGACCCAUUCCCGCUCGUCGCGGGCCAGAGCUUUGAGCUCUUGGUGCUCGUUGAACAUGACCAGUACAAGAUUGCCAUCAAUGGCAAGCACUACACAGAGUUCUGGCACCGCAUUCCAAUUCAGCGAGUCACUCACCUCACCAUGGAUGGUGACACGACUAUCAGCUUGGUUCAGUUCGAGGGAAUCCCAUCGAUGCCACUAGGACCCGGCAUGCCCAUGCCCAUGCCAGUGGCACCUCCGUCUGGUCGGGUGUCUCCCUAUGGCGACACGAGGUUCGGCGCACCAUACCCUCCGCAGGCAGGCUAUCCACCAGGUGGCGGUUACUACCCACCUACAGCUGGUAUGCAGCCUGCAUACCCUGGAGGGGGUGGUUACCCAGCGCACGGCCCAGGAGUGCAGUACGUUCCAUAUCCUGCAGACCAGAAACACAGCUCCGGCUUGGGAACUGGCUUGGGAGCCGGACUGGCAGCCGGCGCUGCUGCUCUCGCGGGCUCUUCGCUCCUCAAGCAUGGGAUGGGUCACAAGAAGGGCUUUGUGCCAGCUGUGGCGGGAGCCGCCCUGGGUUCUGGCCUUCAUCACAAGUCUCAUGGAUACAAGCCCAAGUCCAGCAUGCCGCUUCCCAUUGGUGCUGGCACUCUCGGAACGGGACUGGCCGUCGGUGCCACAGCGCUCGCCGGUGCAGCUUUGGUAAAAAAGCUCAAGCCCAAGAAGAUGUUCAAGCACAAACACAAGCACGGCUGGAAAGGGUGGAGCAGCAGCAGCAGCAGUUCGAGCUCAAGCGAAGAAGAGUGAACAACAUCCUCUGGACAUUUUUCUCUUACAUCAAUGAUGUUCUCUAUAUGUAUACCUGCGCACCAUGUUAUUCUCAAUGUCAUGUGGCUUAAAGAUCUGUGAUGAAAGUUGUAAUUCCAGUUGCUGUAUUGUAAUUGAAAAAGCAUGUUCUCGGAUGCUAAUUGGCCAAAGCUCCGAUGCCAACAGCCCACUCACAAGACGCAGGCACCAUUAUCAUAAGUUCGGUAGUCAGAUGUUCAGUCGUGGUGUUUUGUCACGAUGCUAUCCCGAUUGAUGUGACAUCAUCAUGAUGACAUCGCAAUUGACAUGUCAUGUAAAUCAUACUAUUCCGAGAUGGCAGACAUUUUCGCUUGAGAAACUUUGGUUUCGCAGAUGCAUUAUUUUUGGCAGGUGCACUAUUAUUAUUUGCUUUAUUUCUUUUUUGUCUGCACAAUGUAGAAACCUUGAGACUGUCAAUGCCAAACAUCCUGGACUUUUGUGCACCAAACUGGCUUAGCCGGUGAGAGCCUUUUAAGAUUACAGGCUCAGUGCCAGAGCACCUCGUACAUCAGGCAUGAUUAAUCAGUGUAAAUUUGGCCUUUUUACUGCAUCCUUCAAUUUCUUCAGAAACAACUGUUGCAAACUUUCUCACUGCAUCGAACAAGACCACAAAUUUUACUUGAUAUAGAAGGGCCGUCCCUAACCACCUGUUGUCUGAGAAGCUCCUGUACAGUCUACUUGGAUCCAGUCCAUUGACUUAAAUGUAGUCACUUUGCAUCGAUAAUGCUUCUUGGAUGUCCGUGAAAUAAUUAGUUGCCUGAAAGAUGAGCAGUUUCGCCUUUGAGUGGAAGCCAAAAGCAUGUAAUUAAGAUGGCUUUGGAGUUUUGAUGGAGCAUAAUUAUGAGCACAUAAGGUUCUUGGUGGCACUGGCAUCAAGUUGCAGAAUCAAAAUCCUCAAGUAGCGGAACAGUUGAAGAAAGUGACGGAAGGUAGAAUGGCUAGAAAUGGUUGUUAUAUUCACAGCCUGUAGUAACUGUGUGAAGCUAGCACUUGGGGAUCAUAACGACGACUGCUAUCCCACUACAUUGCCAUGCCGUGAACUGGAAGUGUUGAUCCAACCUGUAUAUGACUAUGACAUUGGCAUUACAUUGGCAUAAGCCGUGCUGCUUAAAUUUUUUUUCUAAGCACUGAACUCAUCUUCAGAAAAGUUGAUUCUGUUGCAAGUUUGUUAACACUGUGUUGCUGCAUCACAUUGCAAAUAUCAUGCAGUGUUUUUUACGUAUUGCAUGCAGCCAUUCUGUCCACUAAUGCUGGCUCCCACUCACUCUGCACAAAUGCAUUGAACCUCAGUUUUUGUGGUAUUUGCUCUGUGACAUAGCAGUAUCAAGUCUGCAGCCAUCAUAUGGGAGGCUAGCUCGAGACUGGAAUGCACCAAGACAGGCAAUGCCAAGGGUAACGUGAUGGAGUGGAUUUGAUGUCUCUCAGGAACUGUUAUUGAUUUAUCAUGAAACCUCUCUGCCUUGUUCCCUCGAAUUUGAAUGCACCGAUGACUCUUUGAGUGCCUUUCAUAUAGCUGUGUAAAUUCCUUCGAUGUUCUUUGCUGUAAAAGUUUGGAAGUUGUGCUCUUUUGCUUGAAAGCAUUUUUUCUUAGGUCAUGCUUGGUUGUUCCAAGCCCAUAUACUGUGCUAUUCUUUGUGCUUAUUGCCCCUAGGCUGUAAUGUAAUGCGUGAAGUCAUGAGGUGUCGCAGUGCCUUCUGGUGUAUUUUUUUUUUUUUUUUCAGUUUAGUUUUAGCAGCCCCCCCCCAUUUUUUUUUCUUUUUGUAGUCUUGCUGUACUGAUAUUUCGUAGAAGCCAGAAUUGGGCUUUCAAUUUGUCUGUUGUCGUGAAGUAUACAACCUCUUGAAAGACUUUAAUGCCCAGAUAUGCAUAGUGUUUUGAGAGUCUAUUGCCGUGUUCAUGUUUGAUGGAGUUGUGUAAUGUCUUCACCAUCGGCUUGUUAUUCAUGCGUCCCAUAUGGUGAUCACAAAAGCAAUACGUAUCUGGCUAGCGGAGACUGCAUUGUGUGCAGGAAUUUCAGUGUAGAGCUCCAUUAUUUCUAUCUAGAGCAUCGAGGUUCCGUGCUGCUGAAUGAAGAAAUGCAUAUUUGAGAGGAUAUUUAGGGUCUUAGAGACAAUGGGAAGUUUUAGCUUGUAUGUAAAUGUACUGACCUUUGUGGGAUACUCGGUUACAAAUGACUGGUUUGGUAGCGCAGCAUUUAGCCAGAUGGAACACAGCGGCAUCAUUGCAGUAACCAACCGCAUUCUGUUUAGCUGCUGGUGUAAUGUGUCGGCAGCGACGUAAUCUUUACCAUGCAGCACUUUUUUAAAAUAUUUUCUUUGACAACAAUACUUACGUAUCAUGAAAAUGUAUCUAAUGCAUUGUGGUUGGACAUAUUACCACAAGGUGCCACUAUCAGCUCUGUUGUUGCCAUCCAUGUCUCCAGUAAGCUAGUAUUCCGUGAAGGUUAAUACAUUUACCGACAAGCUGAAUUUCUGCUGCUUGAACUCAAGGAACUUCAAGAGCGUUUGCUGUCGGUGUUUAGAAUGAAAACAGCUUGAACUAAUGGGUCUAUGAAGAAAAACACUUUGCCUUGUUCCAUCAGUUUGCACUGUUUUUCUUUCUAAAGCUUGAGGAAAGGCAUAUGAAUCUAUUACUGCAGCUUGAACACCGAGAAUGCUGAAAGAUUCUGCUUUCUUUUCUAUACAGCAGAAGGCAGCAGUGUCCUCAACAGCUGUGCCCACUUGCAUCGCAAUGCUGCGUCAUUCUAAAAUGUCUUGUAGAGCAAUACAAUUCUAGUCUGAUGUAGCUCUGUGCAUGGCGCAGAUCUCAGAACUGUUAAUUGCAGUGCGCAAAUGAAAUAUUAUGAGCACUUGUGAAGUCUGUGCACUUUAUUCUGAGCUCUGCUGCCUGUGUCAAUGAACGUUGCUUUCCUGGGAUGAGGCUCGGUGGCACUAAAAGGAGGAAGCAGCGCUCAAAAUUUCUUAAGAACAAUGCGGACAAGUGUUCAAUUCUCCAAAGUACAUACUUCCAGGCCAAAUACUGUCUUCCGCAGUCUAAUUCAUAUUUUAACGAUAUGUACCUCUUGAAUGCAAGAAAGUCCAUCAGUGCCAAUGCCCAAUAUGUCAAAACUUUCAAGGUGCAUUUCUAACACAUGGUGCAGAAUGUGUUUUCAAGCAUGCUAAGGUUGCUGACGCCUGGCUCUCUUACCUUUGUUUGCAUAGGGUGUUUCUUUCAUUUAAAACAUAUGUCAAAAAAUGUUUAUCUCUAAUCACAUAUGGCAAUUUGGUAUCCCAAUGUUUAUUCUGGCUUCUGCUACCAGCGCCCAAACAUGUGAAAUAGACAUAUAGCUUCAGUAAUGCAACAAAAGCAGAAUCAGUAUUUUGCUGUUUCCCACUCACUUUUAACAUAUACUAUUGCUUGGAAGAAGUUAUCAUAAUAAAAUUAUUUGACUUUGUU